UACGGAGGGUGCAAGCGUUAUCCGGAUUUACUGGGUUUAAAGGGUGUGUAGGCGGAUUAUUAAGUCAGCAGUGAAAUCUCCGGGCUCAACCCGGAAACUGCCACUGAUACUAUUAGUCUUGAAUGUUGUUGAGGUGGGCGGAACGGGUCAUGUAGCGGUGAAAUGCAUAGAUAUGACCCGGAACACCGAUUGCGAAGGCAGCCCACUAAGCAAUGAUUGACGCUGAGGCACGAAAGCGUGGGGAUCAAACAGG
rnacentral:rRNA from 1 species